GGUAUGGGAUGAGCUCGCGUCUGAUUAGCUAAGUUGGUGAGGUAAUGGCUCACCAAGGCGACGAUCAGUAGCCGACCUGAGAGGGUGAACGGCCACACUGGAACUGAGACACGGUCCAGACUCCUACGGGAGGCAGCAGUGGGGAAUAUUGCACAAUGGGCGCAAGCCUGAUGCAGCAACGCCGCGUGAAUGAUGAAGGCCUUCGGGUCGUAAAGUUCUGUCCAAAGGGAAGAAUACAGUGACGGUACCUUUGGAGGAAGCCCCGGCUAACUACGUGCCAGCAGCCGCGGUAAUACGUAGGGGGCAAGCGUUAUCCGGAAUCACUGGGCGUAAAGGGAGCGUAGGCGGUUUGACAAGCCAGAGGUGAAAGGCAAUAGCUUAACUAUUGUAAGCCUUUGGAACUGUCGAACUUGAGUGCAGGAGAGGAAAGUGGAAUUCCUAGUGUAGCGGUGAAAUGCGUAGAUAUUAGGAGGAACACCAGUGGCGUAGGCGACUUUCUGGACUGUAACUGACGCUGAGGCUCGAAAGCGUGGGGAGCGAACAGGAUUAGAU
rnacentral:rRNA from 1 species